UUGAACGCUGGCGGCAGGCCUAACACAUGCAAGUCGAGCGGAUGAAGGGAGCUUGCUCCUGGAUUCAGCGGCGGACGGGUGAGUAAUGCCUAGGAAUCUGCCUGGUAGUGGGGGAUAACGUCCGGAAACGGGCGCUAAUACCGCAUACGUCCUGAGGGAGAAAGUGGGGGAUCUUCGGACCUCACGCUAUCAGAUGAGCCUAGGUCGGAUUAGCUAGUUGGUGGGGUAAAGGCCUACCAAGGCGACGAUCCGUAACUGGUCUGAGAGGAUGAUCAGUCACACUGGAACUGAGACACGGUCCAGACUCCUACGGGAGGCAGCAGUGGGGAAUAUUGGACAAUGGGCGAAAGCCUGAUCCAGCCAUGCCGCGUGUGUAAAGAAGGUCUUCGGAUUGUAAAGCACUUUAAGUUGGGAGGAAGGGCAGUAAGUUAAUACCUUGCUGUUUUGACGUUACCAACAGAAUAAGCACCGGCUAACUUCGUG
rnacentral:rRNA from 1 species